GAUGAACGCUGGCGGCGUGCCUAAUACAUGCAAGUCGAGCGAACAGACGAGGAGCUUGCUCCUCUGACGUUAGCGGCGGACGGGUGAGUAACACGUGGAUAACCUACCUAUAAGACUGGGAUAACUUCGGGAAACCGGAGCUAAUACCGGAUAAUAUAUUGAACCGCAUGGUUCAAUAGUGAAAGACGGUUUUGCUGUGACUUAUAGAUGGAUCCGCGCCGCAUUAGCGAGUUGGUAAGGUAACGGCUUACCAAGGCGACGAUGAGUAGCCGACCUGAGAGGGUGAUCGGCCACACUGGAACUGAGACACGGUCCAGACUCCUACGGGAGGCAGCAGUAGGGAAUCUUCCGCAGUGGGCGAAAGCCUGACGGAGCAACGCCGCGUGAGUGAUGAAGGUCUUCGGAUCGUAAAACUCUGUUAUUAGGGAAGAACAAAUGUGUAAGUAACUAUGCACGUCUUGACGGUACCUAAUCAGAAAGCCACGGCUAACUACGUG
rnacentral:rRNA from 1 species